AUUGUUUCUCAGUCUUUUGGCUAAGAUCAAAUGUGGUAUCUUUUUUUUUUUUUUUAAGACCAAUGGUUCAGAAUAGAAAAUGUAGUGUCUUUUCUCAGCAGUUUAACAUGUUCUAUUCAAGGACAACCUAUUAAAUGGAUUUUUGGAACAGGGAGAUGGAGUAGAGCUUGUUCUGUCCACUCCAUGCAUUGACUUGGUAGUGCAAGACCUCCAGGAAUGGUGCAUCCUCC
rnacentral:snRNA from 1 species